rnacentral:rRNA from 1 species
AUUGAACGCUGGCGGCAGGCCUAACACAUGCAAGUCGGGCGAGCGGAGGACGGGUGAGUAAUGUAUGGGGAUCUGCCUGAUGGAGGGAGAUAACUACUGGAAACGGUAGCUAAUACCGCAUACCAUCAGAUGGACCCAUAUGGGAUUAGCUAGUAGGUGAGGUAACGGCGCACCUAGGCGACGAGCCCUAGCUGGGCUGAGAGGAUGAUCAGCCACACGGGGACUGAGACACGGCCCAGACUCCUACGGGAGGCAGCAGUGGGGAAUAGUGCACAAUGGGCGAAAGCCUGAUGCAGCCAUGCCGCGUGUAUGAAGAAGGCCUUCGGGUUGUAAAGUACUUUCAUUCGGGAGGCGUUACCUACAGAAGAAGCACCGGCUAACUCCGUGCCAGCCGCCGCGGUAAUAC